GACUUCACGCUAUAUCGAAUCACUCCCUCACGACGUCUCGGGUACGCUUUUGUCUGCGAAGCAGAAGGAAUAAGGCGCGCAGGCACUAACGCGAAGCCGCUAACGGGCUCAACGCGGAGAUAACCACCGCGCCCCCAACCCGAGCGAACCGCGCACAGAGAGAAAUAAGAGAUGCCUGAAGGGAAGCAAGAACGGAAAACAUCCUUAAAAUGACUGAUUUACAAUUGGAAUACAGGAACUGCUUUUCUUAGGGAGAUAGAGCCUCGAAUCCAAAGGAGUACCUGAAUGCACAUCUGUAACUAGAGAAGG